CCUACGGGUGGCAGCAGUGAGGAAUAUUGGUCAAUGGACGAGAGUCUGAACCAGCCAAGUAGCGUGAAGGAUGACUGCCCUAUGGGUUGUAAACUUCUUUUAUAUGGGAAUAAAAUGAUCCACGUGUGGGAUUUUGCAUGUACCCUAUGAAUAAGCAUCGGCUAACUCCGUGCCAGCAGCCGCGGUAAUACGGAGGAUCCGAGCGUUAUCCGGAUUUAUUGGGUUUAAAGGGAGCGUAGGUGGUUUGUUAAGUCAGUGGUGAAAGUUUGUGGCUCAACCGUACAAUUGCAGUUGAAACUGGCAGUCUUGAGUGCGGUAGAGGUGAGCGGAAUUCGUGGUGUAGCGGUGAAAUGCAUAGAUAUCACGAAGAACUCCGAUUGCGAAGGCAGCUCACUGGGCUACAACUGACACUGAGGCGCGAAAGUGUGGGUAUCAAACAGGAUUAGAUACCCUGGUAGUC
rnacentral:rRNA from 1 species